CAGUCGCCGCGGGAAUACAGAGGGUGCGAGCGUUAAUCGGAUUUACUGGGCGUAAAGCGUGCGUAGGCGGCUAAUUGAGUCGGAUGUGAAAUCCCCGAGCUUAACUUGGGAAUUGCAUUCGAUACUGGUUAGCUAGAGUGUGGGAGAGGAUGGUAGAAUUCCAGGUGUAGCGGUGAAAUGCGUAGAGAUCUGGAGGAAUACCGAUGGCGAAGGCAGCCAUCUGGCCUAACACUGACGCUGAGGUACGAAAGCAUGGGGAGCAAACAGGAUUAGAUACCCCUGUAGUCCCUGUCUCUUAUAU
rnacentral:rRNA from 1 species